rnacentral:rRNA from 1 species
UACAGAGGUCUCAAGCGUUGUUCGGAUUUAUUGGGCGUAAAGGGCGCGUAGGCGGCGAGGUAAGUCGGGUGUGAAAUCUCAGGGCUCAACCCUGAAACUGCACUUGAUACUGCUCUGCUUGAGGACUGGAGAGGAGACUGGAAUUCACGGUGUAGCAGUGAAAUGCGUAGAUAUCGUGAGGAAGACCAGUGGCGAAGGCGGGUCUCUGGACAGUUCCUGACGCUGAGGCGCGAAGGCCAGGGGAGCAAACGGG